UUAAGUUCAGCGGGUAGUCCUACCUGAUUUGAGAUCAAACAUUCAAAGGGCCGUCCUCACUGAGGAGAGACAUCUAUGAGCUCCAGUGAACCUCCACUGCCGAAGGUUACCUGGUGGAAAAACCACAAGCGUAGAUAGUUAUCACACCCAUGAUACCCACCAAACACUGGUAAGCUGAUUUAUUUUAGAGGAGCCGACCG
rnacentral:misc_RNA from 1 species